GAUUCUAUUAAUUCUAAAUUAAAUUAACAAAAGAAAUGGUUAAAAGUACAUACGAACUGAUCAUCUCUAGUGCAAGUAGGAAAAGAUUUGAUGGUUGAUAUAUGAGGUGUUGAAUUCGAACUUUAGUUGCUUCAUAUUUUCAGCUAAACUUAUUUCUAAAAAAAAAAACAAAGUGAAUAAUUAAAAUACAUAGAAGUAUUCUGAAGAAAAAUAUAGAAAUCAUUCACAAUAAGAAAAAAUUAAAAAAAAGUCCAGCUACUAUACUCUUAUUAGUAUAGAACACUUUGUACUUAUAAGUUUUUCGCCGUUAGAUCUAACUCUUUUGAUUAUUUUCAGCUGUUGGAUCAUACUAUUCAACCAACCACCCACUUAAUUUUUGGGGUCCACUAUCAUCCUAAUCGGAGACCAUUCUCAUCCUAACCGCAUAUCUCUUAAUCUAACGGUCGAAAAUUUAUAAGUACAAAAGGAUCUCUACUCAUAAGAGUAUAGUAGCCCUAGCCGAAAGAAAAAUAGAAACCUACUAAACCAAA
rnacentral:lncRNA from 1 species